CUGGUUGAUCCUGCCAGUAGUCAUAUGCUUYUCUCAAAGAUUAAGCCAUGCAUGUCUAARAAUAAACCCUUGAACGGUGAAUCUGCGAAUGGCUCAUUAAAUCAGUUAUUGUUUAUUUGAUGGUACCUUACUACUUGGAUAACCGUAGUAAUUCUAGAGCUAAUACAUGCGCCAAGCCCUGACUUCGGAAAGGGUGCAUUUAUUAGAUUCAAACCAUCGGUCCGUCUGGGCAACUGGGCGUGGCCUUUGAUGGUGAGUCAUAAUAACUUAGCGAAUCGAAUGGCCUUGAGCCGUCGAUGCUUCAUUCAAAUUUCUGCCCUAUCAGCUUUCGAUGGUAGGAUCUUGGCCUACCAUGGCUAUAACGGGUAACGGGGAAUUAGGGUUCGAUUCCGGAGAGGGAGCUUGAGAAACGGCUACCACAUCCAAGGAUGGCAGCAGGCGCGCAAAUUACCCAAUCCCGACACGGGGAGGUAGUGACAAUAAAUAACGAUGCUGGAUUAUUCUUAAUCCGGCAAUUGGAAUGAGAGUGAAUUAAAUCUCCACUCGAGGAACCAUUGGAGGGCAAGUCUGGU
rnacentral:rRNA from 1 species